rnacentral:rRNA from 1 species
UCUCCUGGAAACGGGUGGUAAUGCCGGAUGCUCCGACAUGACGCAUGUCGUGUCGGGAAAGAUUCUAUCGGUAUGGGAUGGGGUCGCGUCCUAUCAGCUUGAUGGCGGGGUAACGGCCCACCAUGGCUUCGACGGGUAGCCGGCCUGAGAGGGCGACCGGCCACAUUGGGACUGAGAUACGGCCCAGACUCCUACGGGAGGCAGCAGUGGGGAAUAUUGCACAAUGGGCGCAAGCCUGAUGCAGCGACGCCGCGUGCGGGAUGACGGCCUUCGGGUUGUAAACCGCUUUUGACUGGGAGCAAGCCCUUCGGGGUGAGUGUACCUUUCGAAUAAGCACCGGCUAACUACGUGCCAGCAGCCGCGGUAAUACGUAGGGUGCAAGCGUUAUCCGGAAUUAUUGGGCGUAAAGGGCUCGUAGGCGGUUCGUCGCGUCCGGUGUGAAAGUCCAUCGCUUAACGGUGGAUCCGCGCCGGGUACGGGCGGGCUUGAGUGCGGUAGGGGAGACUGGAAUUCCCGGUGUAACGGUGGAAUGUGUAGAUAUCGGAAAGAACACCA